rnacentral:rRNA from 1 species
UACGAAGGGUGCAAACGUUGCUCGGAAUUAUUGGGCGUAAAGCGCACGUAGGCGGCUCUAUAAGUCGGAUGUGAAAUCCCUCGGCUUAACCAAGGAAGUGCAUCCGAAACUGCAGAGCUUGAGUACUUAAGAGGAUCGCGGAAUUCCCGGUGUAGAGGUGAAAUUCGUAGAUAUCGGGAGGAACACCAGUGGCGAGGCGGCGAUCUGGGAAGAUACUGACGCUGAGGUGCGAAAGCGUGGGGAGCAAACAGG